CUUAAUUCUUAUAUCUGUUCUUUCAUCUGUCUUUACCUCCUCGAUGGGGGACAAUAAAAGCAGUAGAGACGAGGUAUUGAGCACCAGACUGUUGAACCUCUGAGUCCUGUUCGUGUCUGCGCCGUCGUCUUCUGAUCCGCUGGGAAUAUGGCCGCUGUUUGGACCAGACUUCUUCUCCUGGGAGUGUUUAUUGCCGUCGCACACGGGCUGACGUGCGGCCGAUGUCCGAUCGCAAUCUUUGGGCAAUGUCUGUUUCCCAGGUAUGAUGUCCAGUGCAACACCUCGACCAGCAGCUGCUUCAACGAGACUAUGUUGUUCAAUGCGACUGAUUUUAUCCGACUUCAACGCCAGGGGUGUGUGCCCUCGACCGCUUGUGACCAGACAGAGGCCAGCGCCUUCCUUGGAAUCGGUUACACCUUUUCCGUCGCCUGCUGCGGGACGGACCUGUGCAAUGGAGGGACGUCACGGUCACAACCAUACAGCGGAGGGACGUCGGUGCAGCUGUCGCUCGCUGCCGCGUUCGUUGCCGUUCUGGCGUCGCUCGUGGCUCGUUAGACGACACAUGGUGCUACGACGAUACUUUCUCAGCAGACAGUUAUGAAUAAAUCCAUGAUUCAUUAAAGAGACCGUAAUAAAUAUUUCGAUUUAAAUGUGUUGAUUUAAGUGUGCGGCUUGUCAGUUGUCAGGUCAUGGGUUUCAUAAAGUUGAAUGUUGUUAACUGGUUUAAAUAGGCCUAAUAUUGAAGAAUUAAAGGAUCAAAAAGUGUU